AUGGCUGUCGUCAGCUCGUGUCGUGAGAUGUUGGGUUAAGUCCCGCAACGAGCGCAACCCUUACUUUUAGUUGCCACCAUUUAGUUGAGCACUCUGAAAGAACUGCCAGUGAUAAGCUGGAGGAAGGUGGGGAUGACGUCAAGUCCUCAUGGCCCUUAUGUGUUGGGCUACACACGUGCUACAAUGGCACUCACAAUAGGAAGCAAAGAGGCGACUCUAAGCAAAUCCUAAAAAAGUGCCUCAGUUCGGAUUGUACUCUGCAACUCGAGUACAUGAAGCUGGAAUUGCUAGUAAUCGCGGAUCAGCACGCCGCGGUGAAUACGUUCCCGGGUCUUGUACACACCGCCCGUCACACCAUGGAAGUUGGUUCUACCUUAAGGCAAAGUAUAAAACCUUUGACCACGGUAUAGUCAGCGACUGGGGUGAAGUCGUAACAAGGUAGCCGUAGGGGAACCUGCGGCUGGAUUACCUCCUUUCUAAGGAUGAUUAAAAAGAUAUUGCUUUUUAAUCUAAAAAAUACACAGGUUAAUGUUGACCGUCCUCAUUUCUCUUCUUAAAAAGUGUUUCGGACUUACAAAAAAUAUGUAGGGGCCGGUAGCUCAGUUGGUUAGAGCGCACCCCUGAUAAGCGUGAGGUCGGUAGUUCAAAUCUACCCAGGCCCACCACAUCAGACGAUGGAUGAUAGUCCUGUGAGGAAAGACGGCUGUAUCCGUGAUAAAUGGUUUUAUCCGAUGGCGUUCGUCGCUUUUGUAUGAACGGGGGUGUAGCUCAGUUGGGAGAGCGCCGGCUUUGCAAGCCGGAGGUCAUCGGUUCGAACCCGUUCACCUCCACCAGUUAACAUUUAUGAAGGCUAAACAUUCAAAUGUGAGUGGUUGGUGCACGGAAGGUGAUCAGGAUUUGGAUCACCGGUGGUUUGGUUGCGAGCUUUAGUUUCAGGUACCACAGGUUUAGGACAACUUAGUCUUGGAUUUAUGAAGUGGAACCUGGGUUGUUUGAAAUCGUGAAUAGGUCUGGCAAAUGAGAUCGCACGACCAGUAGGUCGUUGCGAUCAAGUGGCUGAGUAUGAGUAUACUCUGUGCAGUGCAAGGACGAACCCGCGCACUAUAGCCGAAAUUCGUGACUGUCCUAUUCUUGGGGCGGUUAUUUUUUCGGCGUGCGGUUUGUGGGUACGAUUUUGCGACUGUGCAUGGAGCUCAUCUCAAGUGUGCAAAGGGCAUUUGGUGGAUGCCUUGGCGCUAAGAGGCGAUGAAGGACGUAGCACGUUGCGAUAAGUCCCGGGAAGUUGCGAGCAAACUUUGAUCCGGGAAUUUCCGAAUGGGGAAACCCGG
rnacentral:sRNA from 1 species